rnacentral:lncRNA from 1 species
CCUUUCACCAACUUUGACUGAAAUGAAUAGGUUACAACCUUUAGCUUUCUGCCCCUUGGAAAACGGAAGCAUUUAGACAUCCGUAUUAAUAUUUGGAUCUAGAGUGUUCGUGUUUUAGCACUUCCUUUUUUGAAAGGAGAAGCAGACGUGUUGUGUUUUUAGGAACACUUCCAAGAAGUUUCUCCUCCUCUAUGAUGAAACCAACACAAGAAAGCCAAAAGGGCGUUUAACCCCUUGAAGCACUGAGAGUUUCCCUGCUGAUAUUCUUAGACUGUUCUUUUUCUAAAACGAGAAAGAGUGACUUCUAAAGGGCUAACUCACCACAAGGGAGUCAGAGCAGAUCUUGGACUGAGACCUACAGGACACAGCGACUCUUAAAUAGGUGGCUCACCAGGAGAAAGGCAUAGCAGAACCUGGACUGAGACCUACGGGAGACAGCAGGCAGACACACAGGAGGUUGGACGUCGAGAGGAGCACAUCAGUGCAAGAACACAUGGGUGGCUGCCACUUCUCUCCCUUUCCUGAGAGGGAAAAACUCUCGACGCUGAGAGGAAUCCACCAACAGGCACCAGCACUCUGGCAGGCCACCGACCAAUGGAUUGACAUAGAGUUUGGCUGGGGCAGCCAGAGGAGAGCCUGGGCCGCUGAAUAACCCGACUUCAGGGGAAAACUAUUCUCCCUUUUGGCUCCCCCAUCUGCUGAGAGCU